rnacentral:rRNA from 1 species
UACGUAGGGUGCGAGCGUUAAUCGGAAUUACUGGGGCGUAAAGCGUGCGCAGGCGGUGAUGUAAGACCAGGGUGUGAAAUCCCCGGGCUUUAACCUGGGAACUGCAUUUGUGACUGCAUCGCUGGAGUGCGGCAGAGGGGGAUGGAAUUCCGCGUGUAGCAGUGAAAUGCGUAGAUAUGCGGAGGAACACCGAUGGCGAAGGCAAUCCCCUGGGCCUGCACUGACGCUCAUGCACGAAAGCGUGG